UCCCUGGUAGCUCAGUUGGUAAAGAAUCUGCCUGCAAUGCAGGAGACCCGGGUUUGAUCCCUGGGUAAGGAA
rnacentral:tRNA from 1 species